ensembl:lncRNA novel transcript
AUGUGGGUGGCUGAGAAGGGCACUAGGGUGGGGGUGGCUGGAGGAAUUUUAAGUGCUGUGAUGAAAUGGGCACCCUUCUCUGCCCUCCAUCGCCAAGCCCUACACCUCUGCGAAGACUGUGACACAUAAAGUCCUGUGUCAACGAUCUGUGCCCGCAGAGAGAGCCUGCUCCAGCCUCUUUGCUACAGCCUUGAGUCUUCUGCUGAAGCUGUGGAGACUACCAAAUGGACUCGUCUAGAUUUCACAUGCAACGUGGCUCUGCCUUCCCUGAGCACUCUGGGCCUUUCCAUGGAGACAGAAUGAAUAGAUAAUGGGCUGUCACCAUCUUGCACUGCCAGCUGUCCUCUCUGAAGGUUGAACUCCUAACAGAAGUUUCCUCAUGUUUGUGGUAGCAGCACCUUGAGAAGUAGAGAAGACAAGAAGAAAAAAGGAGUCAGCACAGAUGACAAGCUCUGCUUUUUAGUGUACAUGGUCUUCCCCAGUAUGCACAUUCUUUUCCUAUUCUUGACUUAUCUCCCUUAACGAUAAAAUGGCCAAGUUAGAAACCCUAGACACUCUUAUUCUCUUUUCUUUCUUUCUUUCUUUUCUUUCUUAAGAGACAGGGUCUCAUUCUGUCACCCAGGCUGGAGUACAGUGGCACAACUGUAGGUAGCUCACUGCAGCCUGAAAUUCCUAGGCUCAAGUGAUUCUCCUGCCUCAGCGACUUCGGAGUGGCUGAGAUUCCAAGCUUAAACCAUUGUGUCCUGCACUUCUCACUUUCAUGGCUGUUAUCCUGGGG